rnacentral:rRNA from 1 species
CCUACGGGAGGCAGCAGUGGGGAAUAUUGCGCAAUGGGGGAAACCCUGACGCAGCAACGCCGCGUGAGUGAGGAAGGACUUCGGUCUGUAAAGCUCUGUUAAUGUGGAAAAAUGGUAGUUGGUCUAAUAGGCCGAUUACUUGAUGGUACACAUAGAGGAAGCACCGGCUAACUUCGUGCCAGCAGCCGCGGUAAUACGAAGGGUGCAAGCGUUGUUCGGAUUUAUUGGGCGUAAAGCGCGCGUAGGCGGACCUGCAAGUCAGAUGUGAAAUCUCGGGGCUCAACCUCGAAACUGCGUCUGAAACUACAGGUCUAGAAUCUUGGAGGGGGAAGGGAAUUUCUCAUGUAGGGGUAAAAUCCGUAGAUAUGAGAAGGAACACCAGAGGCGAAGGCGCCUUCCUGGACAAGUAUUGACGCUGAGGCGCGAAAGCGUGGGGAUCAAACAGGAUUAGAUACCCUGGUAGUCCACGCUGUAAACGAUGAAUACUAGAUAUUGCAGGAUUUGACCCCAGCAGUGUCGUAGCUAACGCGUUAAGUAUUCCGCCUGGGGAAGUACGGUCGCAAGACUAAAACCUUAAAUGAAUUGACGG